GCCUACACAUGCAGUCGAGCGGAUGAGAGGAGCUUGCUCCNUGAUUUAGCGGCGGACGGGUGAGUAAUGCCUAGGAAUCUGCCUGGUAGUGGGGGAUAACGUNCNGAAANGNNCGCUAAUACCGCNUACGUCCUACGGGAGAAAGCAGGGGACCUUCGGGCCUUGCGCUAUCAGAUGAGCCUAGGUCGGAUUAGCUAGUUGGUGAGGUAAUGGCUCACCAAGGCGACGAUCCGUAACUGGUCUGAGAGGAUGAUCAGUCACACUGGAACUGAGACACGGUCCAGACUCCUACGGGAGGCAGCAGUGGGGAAUAUUGGACAAUGGGCGAAAGCCUGAUCCAGCCAUGCCGCGUGUGUGAAGAAGGUCUUCGGAUUGUAAAGCACUUUAAGUUGGGAGGAAGGGCNNUANNNUAAUANNNUGCUGUUUUGACGUUACCGACAGAAUAAGCACCGGCUAACUUCGUGCCAGCAGCCGCGGUAAUACGAAGGGUGCAAGCGUUAAUCGGAAUUACUGGGCGUAAAGCGCGCGUAGGUGGUUCGUUAAGUUGGAUGUGAAAGCCCCGGGCUCAACCUGGGAACUGCAUCCAAAACUGGCGAGCUAGAGUACGGUAGAGGGUGGUGGAAUUUCCUGUGUAGCGGUGAAAUGCGUAGAUAUAGGAAGGAA
rnacentral:rRNA from 1 species